GACGAACCGUCCAACCGUUAUUCGGAAUCACUGGGCUUACAGAGUUCGUAGGCGGUCUGGAAAGUUGGGUGUGAAAUCCCUCGGCUCAACCGAGGAACUGCGCUUGAAACUACCAGACUCGAGGGAGAUAGAGGAAAGCGGAACUGAUGGUGGAGCGGUGAAAUGCGUUGAUAUCAUCAGGAACACCGGUGGCGAAGGCGGCUUUCUGGGUCUUACCUGACGCUGAGGAGCGAAAGUGUGGGGAGCGAACAGG
rnacentral:rRNA from 1 species